UCCAACUCUGACUCCAUCACCCAUCUGCUGUGUGACCCUGGGGCCAAGGAAGGAGCCUGAGCCCCAGGUGCAUCACGGGAGACCCGGCCUCCGGACCAUCCCCGCCUCUCUAAGGACAUCUUGGUGUGGACACGACUGGACAGGACUGGACAGGAUGGAAGCCACAGCGCAGCCCCGAACCGGACCACCAGGGCCCACAGACAGUGGAAGAAGGACCGGCUACUCACCGGAUGCCAUGGACACUGAUAAAUUGCGCCGGCCCACUGAGAGGAAAUUUGUUGACACGAGGCUGCUGCCCCCGGCCCCCUUCCCGCCCCCUAGCCUGCAACUGUAUCCCCUCCUUCCAGACAGUGCCAUUUCCUUUGGGAGGUUAAGGGUCAAACUCUGCAUCAUGGGUGCCAAAUCAAUCCCUUGCAACUCCAGGAGGGGAUGGAGGUGUGUGCGUGUGUGUGUGCCUCAUGCGUGAGAGCGAGGGCCGGGACCAGAGCAGGGUCAGAGGGGCCGCCCCUCUUGGGCCGGGUAAAGGGUUAUGGAAACAGGGGUCUCGAGUUUGGGGCCGGUACUCCGUGGGUGGAUCCGAGCGGGUGUGACGUCGCACCGGGGCCCUUAAUUCUAUAGUCAGUGCGACAUCCUCCUUGCCUGUUCUGCCCUGUGGGAGUUUCCUGCCUAACUCAGGCUUCAAGAGUACAGACUCCCUUUCCCGUCCAGGGGGGUGCCCCUGGGAGGGCGGGCAUAGGGACAGAUUGAGUAAAGGGUGUGUGUGUGUCUGUAUGUAUGUGUGAC